CCUACGGGGUGCAGCAGUGAGGAAUAUUGGUCAAUGGACGAGAGUCUGAACCAGCCAAGUAGCGUGAAUGAUGACUGCCCUAUGGGUUGUAAACUUCUUUUAUAUGGGAAUAAAAUGUUCCACGUGUGGGAUUUUGUAUGUACCAUAUGAAUAAGGAUCGGCUAACUCCGUGCCAGCAGCCGCGGUAAUACGGAGGAUCCGAGCGUUAUCCGGAUUUAUUGGGUUUAAAGGGAGCGUAGGUGGAUUGUUAAGUCAGUUGUGAAAGUUUGCGGCUCAACCGUAAAAUUGCAGUUGAAACUGGCAGUCUUGAGUACAGUAGAGGUGGGCGGAAUUCGUGGUGUAGCGGUGAAAUGCUUAGAUAUCACGAAGAACUCCGAUUGCGAAGGCAGUUCACUGGACUGCAACUGACACUGAGGCUCGAAAGUGUGGGUAUCAAACAGGAUUAGAUACCCUUGUAGUC
rnacentral:rRNA from 1 species